ensembl:lncRNA
AUAUUUAUAUUUAUAUUUAUAUUUAUACUUAUUUUAUAUAUUUUAUAUGUUUUUUUUUUUUUUUUGCAUUUUCAUGUAAAGCCCCAUUCAUUCUGAAACAAGAGCAUUAACUUAUAAAUAUUACGCAAAAAAAAAAAAAAAAUAUCAGAAACAAUCGUCUUGCUAUAAUUUAUUUUAUAAGUAAACAAACAACCACUGUCCAUCUAUACAAUAUCCAUUUUUUUUUUUUUUUUUUUUUUUAACACAACAUGUUGGCUGAGAAGGGCACAGGAGAUGUUGAAAAUAUAACAGGUUAUUACUACUUUUAUAUUUUUUACAAAAACCAAUGCAUUUAUAGUAUUAACUUAAGUGUAAAUGAUAAAACUAGCACUGAUAUAAAUAAUAAAAAUGAAGGGAAAAAAAACGAAAUUGAAAAAUUGUUACUCGGAUCUAUAUAUGCAAUUAAUUACUUAUGUUUUAAUAUACAACCAAAUAGAAAAAUAAAAAACCUAUACAAAUCAAUUGAAAGUACAAACAAAAAUAUAAAAAUUAAUACAAAUACAAAUAUAAAAAUACACAACCAAAAUAUUCUCAAUACACAAAGCAACUUACAUGUUGGUAAUUUCAACACUUUUAAUACCCCUUUAUAUAAGUUACAUUACUUUGAAUCAUUAACAGCUUAUAAAUUUGUUAUAAUUACAGAUAAGAAUGUCCCAAGUUUAUCAGCUUUUUUAAAAGAUAUUUAUAAAACCAUUUUUCUUGAUUUAGUAGUUUUAAAUCCUCUUUAUAAUGUAGGAGAUGAAAUAAAAGACAAGGCAUUUGAUGAAAAAAUUUUAAAACUUAUAGAAGCACUAGCAGUUGUAUGAUUAAUUUUUGAAUUUCGAUAAAUAUUGCAAAAUUUAUGUUUUUUUAUGUUUUUUUUUUUUUUUUUUUUUUUUUUUUUUUUUUUUUUUUUUUUUUUGCCACUUCUUCUUUUUCUCCCUCCCCCUGUCGCUCGAUCAUCCGUUUUUUUCUUGUAAAUGCUUGUAUAUAUUUGUACAUUUAUAUACAUAUAUGUAUAUAUUUAUUUUUUCUUUUUACCAAUUUGUACAUUCUGUUACAAUUGUAUACUAUCCGUUUGCAAUUUAAUAUAACGCAACGAACUGUAACUAAUAUCGAAUACGAUAUAUAUAUAUAAACGGCAUAAUUUUACUAUUUUUUUUUUGUUUUUUUUUUUUGUUUUUUUUUUUAUUUUUUUUGUACUUACAAAUACAUACUCAUGUCAUGUGAAAAGUAUAUUAUACGCGCCAACCAUUGUACCGUUCUCUUUAAAUAUCACGUUUGAAAAAAAAAAAUGGUAAUAUCGGCUGAUACAUUUUAUUCCAAAAAAAAAAAUAAUAUAUCAUUGAUAGAUAAAGUUAUAAAUAAAUAUGACAUUUUAAAAAAAAUAGAUAGUUUG